CUCGGACCCUUUGAUGUGCAGACUUUGCUAUGGCGAUCUUUUCUUCUGAGCGACCUAACGAUUCGACCACCUCCUUCUACUUCAACUAUCUCUCCAAUUCCUUUGCUUUUCCUCAUUCUCAAAUCUCACAGGAGACAUGAUGGGAUAUGAUGAAAAAUAGAGCAUUCAUUUUUAUUCGCAGAACAAAAGAUAGAGUCUUUGGAGGAAAUGUGCCCAUCUGCAGUUCGUGAGAUGGGUCCAGAGUUCUAAGACAGAUGAGACAGAGAAAACAGAAAGUAUUCGUUUGAAGAUUCUUGGGAAAAGCAUGUCUACCGCGUAUCCUCGAAGUUCUCUUCUCUGGGGUUGGCAAAAGUUUAAGGGUGAUUUCUUGUCAUAGUCAUUGCGAACAUCUCUCCUCUUCUCUUAGCGUGCACAGUUUGCCAAGUCCUACUUAGAACGAAAUGCAUAUUUUAUGAGCGUGUUCGGCAAAACUAGCUGGUAGCUCAUAGCGGUUAGCUGGUAACUGAUAGCGUUUUGUUAAACGCUACAUUAGGUAGCUUUUGAAUUUUGAGCGUUGUGUUUAAACUAAACGCUAAAAGCUUGUGGUGUCAAACGAGACUUUUUGUUCAAAACAGAACAUUUUAUCAAAUGAUAUAAGCUCUCAAACAUUUAGUAUCGAACACGCCCAAUAAGUAUAGCAAGGAGUGUGUGUUAUCCAUUUUAAGAUAUCUAACUAGGUUUUGGAUUUAGUUUGUAAGAAUAUUAACUUUUAGGAUUGAAAUAAAAGUUGAGGGAUUAGUCUUGCCAGACGAUGAAAGACGGUAUCUCUUAACCCCUAAAACCUCCCAUCUCCUUCAUUUGAGGUUAAAGGUUUAAAUUUGAGAUUUGUGGGAUAAUGUAUUAUGUUGAUGAUUUAAUUAAGUUAAGGAUGUUAUUACAUGUUUAAAACAAGUUUUGGAUCCACUAUAAUCACUUUUAAGUCGUUAAUGAAGCUUAGAAGUGUUAGAAACGGAUUUGGCAGUUCAAUGUUGUUUGUUUUGGACUUUCUACGCAUCUGAACAAUGGAUCGUAUACUAAACACAUACAUCAUAGAACUUUCAUAUAUUGCCUAUGGGGCAUUGGUCGGUUGUUACAUUGUUUCGAUAUGGCUUUUAUCGUGUGUUUAGAGUUCAAAUGAGUUGGACAAGUUUAUUGACCUCAAUUUGCUCUCAUAUUUUAUGAGUGGACAGAGCAAGGAGGCUCUGUGUGGAUUCAUGUGAUUUCGGAUGUUAGAUUCCGAGCUUAGCAAAUGAAUUUAUGAGGCUUUUUCAACUUGAAAGGAUAAAUUGUUUAGUUUUUGCAUUGAAUUAUUUAACAAAUAUGUGUGAUUUUUUUUCAAAUGUUAAAAAAUAAAUAAAUAAAUAAAUAAUAAAAAAAUUAGAGUUGUCCUUUUAGACAUUAAGACCAAAUGAAAGUAAAUGGCUAAGAUCUUAAGGAACGAUCUUAGGCUCCUAAGAACUUAGGUUCGAUGUUGUUACAAAAACGAUUCUGUUGAUAUUAGUGGUUGUUUUUUUGUUAUAGUUUUUUGUAGGUUCUUGUGAUCCUAAUCUGGGAUUUCGAUCUUAACAACAUUGUUUUUCAUAUAAUUUACUAUUUGUUAAAGCAAUUACUUUCCUUAAUAAAUAGACAUUAUAAAUUAGGAAUGUCAAUGGAGCCAAACAGCUCCCCGCCUCCGCUCUUGAAUUCUCAUGUUCCCCAGGCCUCGAAUUCCCCGUGUGUCUACGCCCUUGAUCCUACCCUUAAAUUUCAAUAUCACUCCACUUCCAUCCCUGAUGCCCUAAUUUUAAUAUCACCCCCAAACCUUAAUAUAUUAUAAAAAAAAUACAUUCGUACGAGAAUGGGAUCCCACAGAGUCGGGUUACACAUGGGUUCUUGACAUCAUUCCUAAUAUAAUUCUCAUGUACAUCAUCCAUAAUUUUCAUAAUUUUUUUUUUAUUUUUCAAUUGUCUUUUUCAAGUAUUUGAUAAUUAAUAUAUAAGUUAUAUUUUAUGUACUAGCUAAAAAAUAGUUGA